rnacentral:rRNA from 1 species
GACGAACGCUGGCGGCGUGCUUAACACAUGCAAGUCGAACGGAAAGGCCCUGCUUUUGUGGGGUGCUCGAGUGGCGAACGGGUGAGUAACACGUGAGUAACCUGCCCUUGACUUUGGGAUAACUUCAGGAAACUGGGGCUAAUACCGGAUAGGAGCUCCUGCUGCAUGGUGGGGGUUGGAAAGUUUCGGCGGUUGGGGAUGGACUCGCGGCUUAUCAGCUUGUUGGUGGGGUAGUGGCUUACCAAGGCUUUGACGGGUAGCCGGCCUGAGAGGGUGACCGGCCACAUUGGGACUGAGAUACGGCCCAGACUCCUACGGGAGGCAGCAGUGGGGAAUAUUGCACAAUGGGCGGAAGCCUGAUGCAGCAACGCCGCGUGCGGGAUGACGGCCUUCGGGUUGUAAACCGCUUUCGCCUGUAACGAAGCGUGAGUGGCGGUAAUGGGUAAAGAAGCACCGGCUAACUACGU